CCGUUUUCGGAGGUACUCGAGUGGCGAACGGGUGAGUAACACGUGGGUUAUCUGCCCUGCACUCUGGGAUAAGCCUGGGAAACUGGGUCUAAUACCGGAUAGGACCGCACUUUAGUGUGUGUGGUGGAAAGUUUUUUCGGUGUAGGAUGAGCCCGCGGCCUAUCAGCUUGUUGGUGGGGUAAUGGCCUACCAAGGCGGCGACGGGUAGCCGGACUGAGAGGUUGGUCGGCCACAUUGGGACUGAGAUACGGCCCAG
rnacentral:rRNA from 1 species